GGGCCCGCACAAGCGGUGGAGCAUGUGGUUUAAUUCGAUGAUACGCGAGGAACCUUACCAGGGCUUAAAUGUAGUAUGACCGGCUUGGAAACAGGCCUUCUCUUCGGAGCAGAUUACAAGGUGCUGCAUGGUUGUCGUCAGCUCGUGCCGUGAGGUGUUAGGUUAAGUCCUGCAACGAGCGCAACCCCUAUUCUUAGUUGCCAGCGGUUCGGCCGGGGACUCUAAGAAGACUGCCAGCGCAAGCUGAGAGGAAGGUGGGGAUGACGUCAAAUCAUCACGGCCCUUACGUCCUGGGCUACACACGUGCUACAAUGGCCGGUACAGAGAGCAGCCACUACGCGAGUAGGAGCGAAUCUUCAAAACCGGUCUCAGUUCGGAUUGCACUCUGCAACUCGAGUGCAUGAAGCUGGAAUUACUAGUAAUCG
rnacentral:rRNA from 1 species